AGUACCUACGGGGGGCAGCAGUGGGGAAUAUUGCACAAUGGGGGAAACCCUGAUGCAGCGACGCCGCGUGAGCGAUGAAGUAUUUCGGUAUGUAAAGCUCUAUCAGCAGGGAAGAAAAUGACGGUACCUGACUAAGAAGCCCCGGCUAACUACGUGCCAGCAGCCGCGGUAAUACGUAGGGGGCAAGCGUUAUCCGGAUUUACUGGGUGUAAAGGGAGCGUAGACGGCCAUUCAAGCCAGAUGUGAAAGCCCGGGGCUCAUUCCCGGGACUGCAUUUGGAACUGUAUGGCUG
rnacentral:rRNA from 1 species